AGGAACUGGGCUUGGAGGAGCGCACGGAUUGGCUGCUGCGGAGGAGCCGCUCCGGUCGAUCCCAUCCUGCGGCUGCUCCGGCGCCGGCGCCGCCUCCUGUGGCAGAGCCUGAGGGCUGUGGACUCCGCCCUGGCCGCCCUCCCGCACCAGAGCCAUUGAUGGGGAACUAAGAUGGCGCCUGCCAGACUACAACUCCCAUCAUGCACUGCACCCCCCUCC